rnacentral:rRNA from 1 species
UACGGAGGGUGCAAACGUUGCUCGGAAUUACUGGGCGUAAAGGGGGCGCAGGCGGAUUGGUAAGUCAGAUGUGAAAGCCCUGGGCUCAACCUAGGAACUGCAUUUGAAACUGCCUCUCUAGAGUAUGAAAGAGGAAAGCGGAAUUCCUGGUGUAGCGGUGAAAUGCGUUGAUAUCAGGAGGAACACCGGUAGCGAAGGCGGCUUUCUGGUUCAUUACUGACGCUCAUGCCCGAAAGCGUCGGGUAGCAAACAGG